GAGUCUUAUUAUCCCAUACUUCAUGUGAGAGCUGUGCAAGGGAAGGGUACAGUCAUGGAAUCACAGAAUGGCAGAGCUGGAGAAACUGUACACUCUUUUUUCUACGUACAGUGCAUUUUUUCUUGCAUUUUUAAAAAAACCUAAGUUCCAUGAGAGUACAGAGUGCUGUUCACAGCCUUCUCUCCUCAGCACCUAGCCCAGGGUGUGGCCGGUAGUAGGCACAUGUCAAAUUUCUGAUUAUGAAUGAAAACGAAUGCAAAUCAGAUUCUUAGAGUUCAGAUCUCAUGCAAUGUCCUCAUUUCUGAUUCCUUUUCAGUAGCCAGAAAUGUUAGUAGGCUCACACUUCAGUUUCUCUGCUAAAUAACUGAUGAAUUAAAAUGGACUAAAAAUAUCAAGAGAAUUAUCCUAUAAGAAGGAGCUCUGCUCUCCUUCCACUGUAGGCAUUAAGAAUAACCCUUUAACAUACCUGCUUUGUAAAUCUAGGCAUUUUUAACUUUAGAUUUUCUUAAACUUCUGUCUCUGCCUCCCCAUUCUCCCCACUGGGCACCUCCCCCUGCCCUACACACACACACACACACACACACACACACACACACACACACACACACACGAGUAGUAGAGGAGCGUCUGAUCUCUACCACCAGCAUGGCACCUAUGGAAACAAAGUCUUGUGCAGCCACCUAGUGGUGUCUUUUCACCCCUGCAGUUCUCCAUGUCUUCUAAAGGAAAUAACUGAGGGAGGCACUGAGAUAUUUUGAAGACCAUGCACUUCCUCAAGGCAUCCAGGAUCACACCCAGAGGGUGUGAUUCCGUCCUAUGUGGCUGUUCUUUUGAGCAGUGGUUGUCUAUCUCCGUCCACCUUCUCUUUCACCUAAGUGUGUGCCACCAUCCGAUGGAAGAUUUGAUGGACAUGGACAUGAGUCCCCUGAGGCCCCAGAACUAUCUUUUCGGUUGCGAACUAAAGGCCAACAAAGAUGAUUACUUUUAGGUAGAUAAUGAUGAAAAUGAGCACCAGUUAUCUUUAAGAACGGUCAGUUUAGGAGCUGGUGCAAAGGAUGAAUUGCACAUUGUUGAAGCAGAGGCAAUGAAUUACGAAGGCAGUCCAAUCAAAGUAACACUGGCAGCUUUGAAAAUGUCUGUACAGCCAACGGUUUCCCUUGGGGGCUUUGAAAUAACACCACCCGUGGUCUAACGAUUGAAGUGUGAUUCAGGGCCAUUGCACAUCAGUGGACAGCAUUUAGUAGCUGUGAAGGAAGAUGCAGAGUCAGAAGAUGAAGAGAAGGAGGAUGGGAAACUCUUAAGGAUGUCUGGAAAGUGGUCUGCCCCUGGAGGUGGUAGCAAGUCUCCAAAGAAAAAAUCAAAACUUGCUGCUGAUGAAGAAGAUGAUGAUGAUGAUGAUGAUGAUGAUGAUUUUGAUGAUGAGGAAACUGAAAAAGCACCAGUGAAGAAAUCUAUACGUGAUACUCCAGCCAAAAAUGCACAAAGGUCAUAUUAGAAUAUAAAAGACUAAAAACCAUCAUCAACACCAAGAUCAAAAGGACAAGAAUUCUUCAAAAACAGGAAAAAAUUCCUAAAACACCAAAAGGACCUAGUUCUUUAGAAGACAUUAAAACAAAAAUGCAAGCAAGUAUAGAAAAAGUGCAUUGAACAGUCCUGGGCGCUACUGGUAAAUUAAGCCCAAAGAUGAGGAGAAAGGACAAGGAGAGACAAAUAUAGUCCAUACUGAGUGUCAUCAACAAUCCACACUGAAGUCUUCUGUUAUAAUCUCAAUCCCCUUUUCUGAUUUGCCACCCACACCUCUUCAGGCUGGAAACAACCCCACACUCUUGGUUCCCUAAAGCACUCUGUUCUGACUGCUGUGAUACAGUGAACCUUGCCCUUUGCUUUCUAUUACUUGUGUGCAUUUGCCUCAUCUCUGACCAUGUUUUAAAUCCUUUGUAUCUCCUUAGCUUCUCAAUAAAUAUUUGAAUGAAUCAAUUUUUAAAAAUCCA
rnacentral:lncRNA from 13 species